GAGGGAUUCUGGGUAAUGUCAUUAUGGAGAUCAUCUACCUGCUGGCUGGAGAGGUGAGGGAUUCUGGGUAAUGUCAUUAUGGAGAUCAUCUACCUGCUGACUGGAGAGGUGAGGGAUUCUGGGUAAUGUCACCAUGGAGAUCAUCUACCUGCUGGCUGGAGAGGUGAGGGAUUCUGGGUAAUGUCAUAUGGAGAUCAUCUACCUGCUGACUGGAGAGGUGAGGGAUUCUGGGUAAUGUCAUUAUGGAGAUCAUCUACCUGCUGACUGGAGAGGUGAGGGAUUCUGGGUAAUGUCAGU